rnacentral:lncRNA from 8 species
AUGAUUUAUUUGAUGCAGUCUUUUUUGCUCAUCUUUAUCAAGGCUGCCAAUAAAUUUAGACUCAUCAUAGAGCCUCCAUAUACACUUUCUUUCACAGGAGCCUGGGCCCAGACAGUUACCCAGAAACCUGAUGAGGUUGUGUAUAAACUGGCUCAGAAUGCCUCAAUGGACUGCCAGUUCAUCCACACUCCAGAGCAGCAGGUGGCAAAGAAUCCCAUUCUCUACUGGCAUAAAAUUACAAGUUUGACCCAAAUGACAAGACUGUGGCCUGACCCAGAGUCACCGUACAAGGAUCGUGUGGAUGUUCUGGACAGUGACCGCAACUCACCAAACAGAUCUGUACUUCUGAAGAAUGUCCAGUGGGAGGAUAGCACUGGAAAGUAUGAGUGUAAACUUUCUUAUAGGGCUGCCAAACAAGAUAAGAGGACGAAAGGGAACGGUGUUAAGCUAUUGAUACAUGAUUCGAUGUUCUUUGGGCUUGAGAAUGAGACCCAACUCAUGUGUGCUGUGAAUGUUUCCCGGGAUGAUGGGUUUGUCUUAUCCUUGCUACAAGACGGAUCUAAAGUAUUCCAAAAGACCAUUGAUCCUCUUCACCCCAGCAUGUCACUGCCUGUUACCCUGUCUGUGAUCCUCCCCUUGGAGAAGGGCAAGAACUAUGAGUGUCAAAUCCACCUGGGCUCCACCAUGAUAAUGAGCCAGCCCUUCCAACAGCCGCUUGAGACGCCAGGUAGUGUUUUCUCAUUACAUACCUUACAGUUACAGUGUGUCACAUCUACUGAAGACUGCCAAGUCGACUUAUAUCCAGGUUUAUCAUACAGUAUAUAGCCAUUUGUGUCGGUGCAUAGCAAUGAAAUGUAGCUUUCUCUCCGUAUCUGCAAUACCAUUCAAUGACUGACGCCACCCUAUGUCUGCUCCUCUUGUGUUUUUCAGCAUUAGAGAAGGUGCUUCCUGAACCAGCUUUCCUGUUCGUGGCCAUCCUCCUGGUCCCCAUCACCGUGCUUCUGGCUCUGCUCACAGCCCUUCUUGUCUUACGCAGAUAAGACAGGAGAUAGUAAGACUGCUUAGGCCAAAUAUACAGUGCAUUUAGUAUUCAGAACCUUUGACCUUGUCACGUCCUGACCAUUAAAAGGGGUUAUUUGUUAUAGUAGUUUGGUCAGGGCGUGGCAGGGGGUGUUUGUUUUGUGUGUUUUGGGGUUUGAUGUAUGUUCUAUAUUUUAUAUUUCUAUGUUCAUUCUAUGUUCCCUAUCUAUGUUUUGUGUUUCUGUGUUUUGGCCUGGUAUGGCUCUCAAUCAGGGACAACUUCAUUGUCGCUGAUUGGGAACCAUACUUAGGUAGCCCUUUUUCCACCUGUCUGGUGUGGGAAGUUGUCUUUGCGUUGCAUGUGUUUGCACGCAUAGCUUUUCCUUCGUUGUAUUGUUUAUUGUUUUGCUGAUUCACGUUUAAAAUAAAGAAAGAUGAACCCAACUGUCACGACAGUGACGGAUGGUGGCGCCCCUCCUCGGCCGGGCGGAGCUCGGCGGUCGUCGUCGCCGGCCUACUAGCUACCAUCGAUCCCUUUUUGUUUCACUUUCGUUUGGUUAGGUCUAGGUAGGCACGCACCUGUUUUGGGUUAGUCAUUAGUAAGGGGGGGUUAUUUAGGUUAGCGUAGGAUGUAUGUGGUUGUACGUGAUUGUGUUGCUUGUCCGGGUUUUUUGUGUUCGAAAAGAACGUGUACUGAGUUUUUCCUUCUGCCAGUGGUUUAUUUUGUUUGUGUACACCACCGCAGAAUCUUUCAGGGCUGCGCCCCUAUACUUUGUCGACCACGUACAGUGCUUCCAAUAAAGAAGUGUGGUCACGAACUCUCUCUGUCUCCUGCGCCUGACUCUACCUCUCCUGUUCCUCGAGCCAGCCCGUGACACCAACUCACGCUGCGUUACUUACCUUUUCCACAGCCUUAUUCUAUAAUGCAUUAGAUAAAAAAAAAUACUCAUCAAUCUACACACAAUACCCC